GACCGGACCGGCUGGGGGCAGCGCUAGGGACGGCGGCUUUGCAAUAAGCCUUCCCCCGGUUCGGUCGGAGAGCCGAGCCUAGCCAGCCGGAAUGCGCCACACAUCGGAGACAAAGAAAAUGGCUUUCUCCAGAUAAGUCUUGUGGGGAUCCAGUAGCCUUGCAGCCUGGAGAAGUGCGGAACUCCAAAGAAGGAAGAAUGUGCCAAGAAUUGCCAAAGAAAAAAGAAAGAAAGGGAAACCAUUGGCUUUCCAAAUCUCAGCUGAAUCUGGAUAUACCACUCUGCCACAGUGACUUGUUCCUCUAUUCUUUUUUCUUAGGGCAUUUAGCCAUUCAAAGCC